AAAAUGGGAACAACAACAUUUUGGCAUUGUUAGAAGAUUUGUCCGGCGGUAACCCUAGACAUCAAACGAGCAUUUUAUUUCGAAUCGUUUGAUAUUCCUCCUCUUUUUUUUCUCGGAAUACAGGUCUGUGGAUCCUCGUCGUGGUUUCCGCUCUGGGCGAUGGGAGGAGGGCAAUGGUUUUGGCGAGGCUACAGACUGCAGCAGUGCUCUCCGGAAGGGAACGGCCGGAAAACUGAAACAUUGAUGACGUUUCAAUGGCUGCUGAUGAAGCUCGAGGAAUGGGCAUGACCUGGUGAUGCUGUUCUGGAUGGAUGCGGUAAGCAUCUAAAGGCAAUCCUUCACCAAAAUCUGCCAUCCAGCCCCUAAUUCCAGUAUCCACCAUUUCAUGAAGAAUCUUCUUGAACCAACUGCUUGCUUUUGGGUGGGUAAAGUCCAACAUUCCGACAUCAAAAGCUGUAUUUGGUAUCAUCUUUCGUGCCUCCCUGCAUGCCAACAACAGCUCCAGAAAUGAUCCAGUUUGGAAGUAUGGGGGGUCUUCCUAUCGUCUCUGUGUAAAGCUCAAGGAGCUCAACAGGUUCAACUACCUCAAUCUGUAUCCUGUCAACCUUUGUGAGAUCAAAAACUGAGUAAUUGUACCCUUCAAGGUAAAGGGAUUUCAUUCUUGAGGUAAUGUAGAAAGGAGAAGGGGCAUAAGUUGUACUCCAGUCACCUCCUGAUCUGACAAUGUAAAAAGUAGAACUUAUAAUUCUGUGAUUCCAUUUCAUUACAAUACUGCAGCAAAUUAUGGCUGGUAGUAGUACCUGUAACUAACCAAAUUGGCAGCAAAGGUGAUAGGUUGAUCUCCUCGUCCUAUACCUUGUUCCUGCACCAGAAUUGGCACCCUCUUUCCUUUGAACUCGACAUGGGAAAACUGCUCACCGAAACCAUAAAACCUCUCAUCUUUAUCGCUUGCAUAUGUGAUGAAAACUUUGUUGAACUCGGUGACAAUUCCCUUCUUUCCCUCUUGUUCAUCAUGCGAUGAAAGUGCAACAAAACCUUUAUUACUUGACAUACAGGACUGCAUUUCUGAUCGAAUUCGCCAAACUUGAGAUGAAACCCAAUUUGAUUCUUACUCUUUUGCUCAAGCAGAAACCAAUACCUUGCAACAAGUGAAGAUUUCCUGGAACAACCAAAUCUCAAUCUUUUCUUCCCCAAGUUCUUCUUAGCAGUUGAGUUAGUCUUUUGAUUGAAGACCCUUCCUGCGAUCAUCAGAAUAGGGAAUUUUGAUUCCUCUACCAACUCACGAAUGUCUUCAUUGCUUGAAUUUGGAAACCCAGAUAUGAAAUAAGCAUCACGAUCAUGGAUAACAAAGGAACCUCUGCUUUCCUCGGCAUGACUUUGAACUGCUGCUGCCGAAAUAAACGCCUCUCCAGGGAUUGUAGACCAUACGCUUCGGCUCGGCUGAGUUCGGUGUGAGAU